CAGCCGCCGCGGUAAUACGGAGGAGGCUAGCGUUGUUCGGAAUUACUGGGCGUAAAGCGCACGUAGGCGGCUUUGUAAGUUAGAGGUGAAAGCCCGGAGCUCAACUCCGGAAUUGCCUUUAAGACUGCAGAGCUAGCAGGUGAGAGAGGUGAGUGGAAUUCCGAGUGUAGAGGUGAAAUUCGUAGAUAUUCGGAAGAACACCAGUGGCGAAGGCGGCUCACUGGCUCAUACUGGACGCUGAGGUGCGAAAGCGUGGGGAGCAGACAGGAUUAGAUACCCCGGUAGUCCCUGUCUCUUAUAC
rnacentral:rRNA from 1 species